rnacentral:rRNA from 1 species
GACGAACGCUGGCGGCGUGCUUAACACAUGCAAGUCGAACGAUGAAGCCGGAGCUUGCUCUGGUGAAUUAGUGGCGAACGGGUGAGUAACACGUGAGUAACCUGCCCUUGACUCUGGGAUAACUGCGGGAAACUGUAGCUAAUACCGGAUACGACCCUCGGAGGCAUCUCCUGGGGGUGGAAAGAAUUUCGGUCAAGGAUGGACUCGCGGCCUAUCAGCUAGUUGGUGAGGUAAAGGCUCACCAAGGCGACGACGGGUAGCCGGCCUGAGAGGGUGACCGGCCACACUGGGACUGAGACACGGCCCAGACUCCUACGGGAGGCAGCAGUGGGGAAUAUUGCACAAUGGGCGCAAGCCUGAUGCAGCAACGCCGCGUGAGGGAUGACGGCCUUCGGGUUGUAAACCUCUUUUAGUAGGGAAGAAGCGAAAGUGACGGUACCUGCAGAAAAAGCACCGGCUAACUACGUGCCAGCAGCCGCAGUAA